rnacentral:lncRNA from 1 species
AGGUUUUAAGCACCCAAAACAUCCUUAGUACUCUAAGGGAGCCCUUUUUGCAAAAUACGUUGUAGGUUGAUAUUUGUGAAAAGAUUUGUGAAAACAAGAUUGGGGGGAUGAGAAGAGAAUAUACAUAUUUACAAUUUUGUUGUUUGAAUGGAUGAACCCAUUGCCUACGUACCAUCACAAAGGAAGAUCAAAACCUUGUAGUUCGGGGUAAAAAUCACAAAGAUUAGUGAAUUGAUUUGAUCAAAAGUCUUAAG